UGGAGCCUGCGGUUAAUCGGACUCAACGCCGGGAAACUCACCAGAUAAGACAGCUGGAUGAUAGCCGGGCUGAAGACUCUGCUUGACUAGCUGAGAGGAGGUGCCUGGCCGUCGUCAGUUCGUACUGUGAAGCAUCCUGUUAAGUCAGGCAACGAGCGAGACCCACGCCAACAGUUGCCAGCAUGUCCUCCGGGAUGAUGGGGACACUGUUGGGACCGCCUCUGCUAAAGAGGAGGAAGGAAUGGGCAACGGUAGGUCAGCAUGCCCCGAAUUAUCCGGGCUACACGCGGGCUACAAUGGUCAGGACAAUGGGUAUCGACACCGAGAGGUGGAGGCAAUCUCCUAAACCUGUCCUUAGUUCGGAUUGUGGGCUGCAACUCGCCCACAUGAAGCUGGAAUCCGUAGUAAUCGCGUUUCAAAAUAGCGCGGUGAAUAUGUCCCUGCUCCUU
rnacentral:rRNA from 1 species